UCCUUUAGACAAAGCUGUGACCCAUUUUACUCUGGAUAAGGGCAGAAACGGUUCACAUUCCAUUAUUUGUAAAGUUACCUGCUGUUAGCUUUCAUUAUUUUUGCUACACUCAUUUUAUUUGUAUUUAAAUGUCUUAGGCAACCUAAGAACAAAUGUAAAAGUAAAGAUGCAGGGAAAAUGAAUUGCUUGGUAUUCAUUACUUCAUGUAUAUCAAGCACAGCAGUAAAACAAAAACCCAUGUAUUUAACUUUUUUUUUAGGUUUUUUGCUUUUGUGAUUUUUUUUUUU
rnacentral:lncRNA from 1 species